GACGAACGCUGGCGGCGUGCCUAAUACAUGCAAGUCGAACGCAGUGGGGACGGGUGAGUAACACGUGGGUAACCUCCCAUCAGAGGGGAUAACACUUGGAAACAGGUGCUAAACCGAUACUGAUGGAUGGACCCGCGGUGCAUUAGCUAGUUGGUGGGGUAACGGCUCACCAAGGCCACGAUGCAUAGCCGACGUGGAGGGGUGAUCGGCCACACUGGGACUGAGACAAGGCCCAGACUCCUACGGGAGGCAGCAGUAGGGAAACUUCGGAAAUGGACGAAAGUCUGAACGAGCAAAGGCGCGUGAGUGAAGAAGGUUUUCGGAUCGUAAAGCUCUGUUGUGAAGGAAGCGGUACUUAACCAGAAAGGGACGGCUAACUACGUGCCAGCAGCCGCGGUAAUUC
rnacentral:rRNA from 1 species